GGUACGUGAGCCGCCGCCUCGCCGCCACCCCUCCUCCUCCUCCUAUCUUCCGCCGUCUCGUCGCUACAGUCGUCCCCGUGAGCAAGCUAUCUAGGCUAGGGUUCAUCGGAAAGAAAGGAAAAAAAAUCCCCAUUCCCUCCGCCGUCUCCUAUGCCCCGCUGCCCGCCUACUCUUCCUCUUUGCAGCAUCGUGUUUAUCCUCGACGUAGAAGGAUAGCACGGACUGAAGAGACGCCCUGCCGUCGUGCUCCUUUUUGUAGGGACGGGGAGGGGGACGGGAAAGGGAGGCCCGAGGGCGGCAAGUUCCGUCAGAUGGUAGUGGCCAUCGCAUCGGAGGGCGCAGGGGGAGGCGCGCUUCUCGCGUCGCUCACGGAGCCCUGCGAGGCGCUCUCGUUCUGCAUGGAGGACGCCGGGGCUACUUCCCCGUCGAGUCCGCCGCCCGGGCGCUUGUGCAGCUGGCUGACGCGGAGGUCGCCAACCCCGAUGAGAUGCUGCUCGCCGUGCGCGCCAUCACCUGCAGCUGGUUGGAUAUUAGUUAUGAAGGUUGUCCCUGGAUUUUUGCUCUAUCGAGGACUGCAUGAGCUUGGUCAAUAUGCAUUCUUGGAAAUACUCUAGGAGCCAGCCAUAAAGAAGGAAUUCCUACUGUAUCAUGUGGCAUUCUUAGUCAGAAUUUGUUAUUGCCAUCAGAAGGUGUACUACUUGACCAUGCAGGAUACAAGGUGUCAUGAUGAUUUGAUGAGGGGAUGUCGGGGAAACUGAUCCACGAACACCUAUGGGG